AUGGUCACCACCACACUGCACGCCGCCGCCAUCUUCCUGCGGGGGCCCGGUGCGGACUGGGACUGGUUCAUCAACCUCUCCGCCUCCGACUACCCGCUCGUCACUCAGGACGAUCUGAUGGACGUCUUUUCGCGGCUGCCGCGUGACCUCAACUUCAUCGAGCACACGGGCGACCUGGGUUGGAAAGCCAUUGUCGGGAUCGCGACUGAGUCCGCCCUGAUUGUUCUUGCCAGGCCUGCGAGGGCGAUGCCGGUCGUCGUUGACCGUGGCCUCUACAUGAAGACGAAGCAAGAUCUGCUGUGGAUGAAUGAGACCGAGAAGCGGGAGCUGCCCACUGCUUUCACACUCUUCACUGUGGGUGGAGCCGUGCAGGAAGCCACUUUUCUAUCCAAAAUAGCUAUCAUCGCUCCUACUCCUGUGGUGGAACCAGGAUUCGAAUCGAGCUAG
rnacentral:rRNA from 1 species